UCCGGUUUGGCACCGGCAGUCUCCCCAGAGUGCCCGGCUUUACCCGCUGGCAACUAAUGGCAAGGGUUGCGCUCGUUGCGGGACUUAACCCAACAUCUCACGACACGAGCUGACGACAGCCAUGCAGCACCUGUGCACGAUCUCCGAAGAGGGGCUCUCGUUUCUGAGAGCUUGCUCGUACAUGUCAAGCCCAGGUAAGGUUCUUCGCGUCGCAUCGAAUUAAGCAACAUGCUCCGCCGCUUGUGCGGGGCCCCGUCAAUUCCUUUGAGUUUUAGCCUUGCGGCCGUACUCCCCAGGCGGGGUGCUUAAUGCGUUAGCUUCGGCACGGAGGGGGUCGAUGUCCCCCCACACCUAGCACCCAACGUUUACGGCUAGGACUAC
rnacentral:misc_RNA from 1 species